UAUUUUUAAACAAAGUCAAUCCAAUGCAGCAUUAAAUCCAAAUAGUAAAAACAUUGAAAAAUAUUAUGGCAUCACUUUGUACUAUAUUAUUUUUUAUGUAAUUCAAAUAUAAUAUAUA
rnacentral:sRNA from 1 species